UACGUAGGGGGCUAGCGUUGUCCGGAAUCAUUGGGCGUAAAGGGCGCGUAGGCGGCUCGGUAAGUAGGGGGUGAAAUCCUGCGGCUUAACCGCAGGGCUGCCUUCUAAACUGUCGAGCUCGAGCACGGUAGAGGCAGAUGGAAUUCCCGGUGUAGCGGUGGAAUGCGUAGAGAUCGGGAAGAACAUCAGUGGCGAAGGCGGUCUGCUGGGCCGUUGCUGACGCUGAGGCGCGACAGCGUGGGGAGCAAACAGG
rnacentral:rRNA from 1 species